rnacentral:rRNA from 1 species
CCUACGGGAGGCAGCAGUGAGGAAUCUUGCGCAAUGGGGGCAACCCUGACGCAGCAACGCCGCGUGAGUGAGGAAGGUCUUCGGAUCGUAAAGCUCUGUCAGUUGGGAAGAAAUGGCUGGGGGUUAAUACCCUUCGGUCUUGACGGUACCAACAGAGGAAGCACCGGCUAACUCCGUGCCAGCAGCCGCGGUAAUACGGGGGGUGCAAGCGUUGUUCGGAAUUAUUGGGCGUAAAGAGCGUGUAGGCGGCCUGAUAUGUCAGAUGUGAAAGCCCUGGGCUUAACCCAGGAAGUGCAUUUGAAACUGUCAGGCUCGAGUAGGGGAGAGGGAAGUGGAAUUCCUGGUGUAGAGGUGAAAUUCGUAGAUAUCAGGAGGAACACCGGUGGCGAAGGCGACUUCCUGGCCCUAUACUGACGCUGAGACGCGAGAGCGUGGGUAGCAAACAGGAUUAGAUACCCUGGUAGUCCACGCCGUAAACGAUGUUCACUAGGUGUUGGGGGUAUUGACCCCCUCAGUGCCGGAGCUAACGCGUUAAGUGAACCGCCUGGGGAGUACGGUCGCAAGACUAAAACUCAAAGGAAUUGACGGGGGCCCGCACAAGCGGUGGAGCAUGUGGUUUAAUUCGAUGCAACGCGAAGAACCUUACCGGGGCUUGACAUCCACGGAAUCUCCUGGAAACAGGGGAGUGCCCUUCGGGGAGCUAUGAG